rnacentral:rRNA from 1 species
GCUAGCAGUUAUAUCAUCCUGAAACUCACAACUGGCAGCACAGUAAAGCUCAGCAGGUGUGAGGCCGCUCAGUAACUGGAUGGGAGACUCUUGGUAAAAACUAAUGUUGCUGCUGGAA